CGCACCUUGCGCCCUCUGGUAUUCCGGAGGGCAUGCCUGUUUGAGUGUCUUGAUAUCAUCAACCCCUCGGGUUCGCACCCGAUGCGGGUUGGAGUUGGGGGCUUGCUGCCGUGAGGCGGCUCCCCUUAAAAUCAUCGGUUUGGCCCGUAUCACGCGGCUGGCACCUUUGGCGUUGUAUCUCCCUCGCCUUUGAUCGGUCCUUCUCGCUUCCGCGCCUCACCCCGACUUGCCCUUUGGGUGGCGGUCACUUCUUGACAAUCUGGCCUCAAAUCAGGUAGGACUACCCGCUGAACUUAA
rnacentral:misc_RNA from 1 species